rnacentral:rRNA from 1 species
GACGAACGCUGGCGGCGUGCUUAACACAUGCAAGUCGAACGGAAAGGCCCUGCUUUUGUGGGGUGCUCGAGUGGCGAACGGGUGAGUAACACGUGAGUAACCUGUCCUUGCCUUUGGGAUAACUUCAGGAAACUGGGGCUAAUACCGGAUAGGAGCUCCCGCUGCAUGGUGGGGGUGGGAAAGUUUCGGCGGUUGGGGAUGGACUCGCGCCUUAUCAGCUUGUUGGUGGGGUAGUGGCUUACCAAGGCUUUGACGGGUAGCAGGCCUGAGCGGGUGACCGGCCAAACUGGGCCUGAGCUACGGCCCAGACUCGUACGGGAGGCAGCGGUGGAGAAUGGUGCACAAUGGGCGGAAGGCUGAUCCAGCAACGCAGCGUGCGGGAUGACGGGCUUCCGGUUGUAAACCGCUUUCGCCUGUGACGGAGCGUGAGUGACGGUACUGGGUGAAGAAGCACCGGCUAACUACGUG